ensembl:lncRNA
UAGGGUUAACGUAGUGGGAUGGGAUGGUGUAGGAUCCUUUAGGGUUAAAGUAGUGGGAUGGUGUAGGAUCUUUAAGGGUUAAAGUAGUGGGAUGGUGUAGGAUCCUUUAGGGUUAAAGUAGUGGGAUGGUGUUGGAUCCUUUAGGGUUAAAGUAGUGGGAUGGUGUAGGAUCCUUUAGGGUUAAAGUAGUGGGCUGGGAUGGUGUAGGAUCCUUUAGUGUUAAAGUAGUGGGAUGGUGUUGGAUCCUUUAGGGUUAAAGUAGUGGGAUGGUGUAGGAUCCUUUAGGGUUAAAGUAGUGGGCUGGGAUGGUGUAGGAUCCUUUAGGGUUAAAGUAGUGGGCUGGGAUGGUGUAGGAUCCUUUAGGGUUAAAGUAGUGGGAUGGUGUAGGAUCCUUUAGGGUUAAAGUAGUGGGAUGGUG